rnacentral:lncRNA from 1 species
GGAGAUCAACUAAAUAAAUGUAUAUACUAUAUAUCAAAUGUAAACAGUCAAAUGUAAACAGUACGUGUCAAGGAGAGGUCGAGUUCAUGUACUACCAUCCGAUUCCUGAUACAAACACUACGGGAAACACUAAAGUCGCCGAGUGUAAUUUUUUCGCCAAGUGUAUUAUUGCGGGCACUCGGCGAAGGCCGCGUUUGCUGAG